rnacentral:rRNA from 1 species
GACAGAGGGUGCAAACGUUGUUCGGAAUUACUGGGCGUAAAGCGCGUGUAGGCGGCUAUGCAAGUCGGAUGUGAAAGCCCUCGGCUCAACCGGGGAAGUGCACCCGAAACUGCAAAGCUAGAGUCUCGGAGAGGAUCGUGGAAUUCUCGGUGUAGAGGUGAAAUUCGUAGAUAUCGAGAGGAACACCGGUGGCGAAGGCGGCAUCCUGGACCGACACUGACACUGAGGAGCGAAAGCCAGGGGAGCAAACGGG